GGCUCCCCAGCGUCCGCGGGCCGCUGCGGGUCUCUGAGGCACCUCGUUGAAGGGAAGGACCGGUGACAAGGGGUGACGCUGGCUGAACUGACUCAGAGUGCCGAGGCUCUACCACGGCCGCUUUAUCCCACCGCCCUCUCCUGUUGCGGGUGCCCCGCAUCCCCUGGACCGGGAUAGGGUGUGGGGGCCCCUUGGUGGAGCAGCCUCUCCCACCCCAGCCGCCGUAGCACCCGACUGCCGCUCACCUGGCCACGCCGUGGCGGACCCCGGGAUCACCGCCAGCUGAGCCAUGCCCCAAGUCCCUCCGUCCGCGCCGCUGCUCGGCUUUGCAAAUUCUCACCUCCGCGCCCCCUCCAGGAACCCCAACGUCCACAGCGCACUUCAGAGUUGGGAUGGCUCAGGAUUUCUGCAACUUCAGGACUGCAGAGAACUUGGAGAAAGAUCAGCCCUCCAGAGGCCAGUAGAGAGCUCUUCAGUCUGGAAACAGACCUCUGAAGAUGGCAAGCCUCUCAGAAUGCAGCCUAGGCCUGACCUGCCUGCUCCCAGCCGAAGGGGAUGUGGAGCCAUGUGAUGUCCUUAUGCCUUUUACUGGAGAUGAUAAUUCUGAACAUCUGAUCAAGGUAUUGCCUGAUUUCUCUUCUGUAUAAUUACUAGAUUUUUUUUGUCCCCCAUUCAUGACUUUUUAAAAGAUGAAAUUCUCUCUUUUCCAGGUUGUCUAUACUCCAUCAGCACAUUUGAGUUCGGUGCUCUCCCAGGCACGUGUUGCGUGGUGGUCACACCCACGUUGGCCAGGCCUGUGUCCUCAUGUCUCAUCAGGGACUUUGUCCUGCUGAUCGUGAGGGCUCAUACAGAUUCCUCACUCUUUCCUUUUGGGCCCCGAGUUCACAUCCUGGCCUAGUGAGUCUCUUUGUAGGCUUGAUUUGCCUACAACCCUGAUUACUGCCUCUCUGGAGUUAGAAGUUGGACUUUGCCAUGUUGGUAACAUCAAAUUCGAGAUAGACAUUUCUGGAGAAUGUGUUGUCCUGGACUCAGCAAGAUGUACUGACGUCCUCACACAUCAGGGGCUGAAGACUGGAAGUAAGGAAAGAUGAAGGACAGACAGGCCUCUGUGCGGUGUGCUGUUCCUGACCUGAGAGCAGUCUGAGGAGAUUGGACAAGUCCAUUUCACUUUCCCUGCUCAGGAAGAUAAGGGUUUUCAGAGGUCUUGUGUGAGAACCGAAGUCAGGCAUUCUGGCCUUUCUUUCCUGCUUCAAGCUCUAAUUCUGUUCCUAGAACACAUCCCACUACAAAGCCUGUGACUAAAGGGCCUUGUGUUUCAGUGAGAUGGGAGAAACCAGCAUAGUGUGAACCCAUUUAAAAAUAGAUUUGGGAUUUAGGCUGACCCAUGGGGUGGUUGGAAGGCCCAGCACACCCUCCAGUAGGUGACCAAUGGCGGACACCUCCCGCCAUCGCAUCUCCUGAGGUGGGCACAUCUGCUGGCCAGAGAUUUGCUUGUGGACUCACCUGAGUCCUCUUUCCCAUGGUGCUGACAUGGCUGGCGCUCCAGGGCCCUGGCUCCCCUGACUACUCACUGAGCUAAGUUAAGUGUCUCCUGGCUCUGGGAGGUGCUCUGAGCUCUGAUUGCUACACCCCAUCCUCUUUCCUAUUAUUGUUUCCUGCCUUGUCUUCUGAAUGUUCAAAUAAACCCAGCAGAUGUUAAAAAAAAAAAAAAAAGCAUCUUGGAUUUAA
ensembl:lncRNA